rnacentral:rRNA from 1 species
AGAUCAUCACUGGGUAUAAAGAGUGCGCAGGCGGUUUUGUAAGACAGAGGUGAAAUCCCCGGGCUCAACCUGGGAACUGCCUUUGUGACUGCAAGGCUGGAGUGCGGCAGAGGGGGAUGGAAUUCCGCGUGUAGCAGUGAAAUGCGUAGAUAUGCGGAGGAACACCGAUGGCGAAGGCAAUCCCCUGGGCCUGCACUGACGCUCAUGCACGAAAGCGUGGGGAGCAAACA